rnacentral:rRNA from 1 species
CAUGGCGGCCGGCGGGAUUUGAUUUUAAGCCAUGCGAGUCAAUGUUCUUCGUGAACAUGGCGUACUGCUCAGUAACACGUGGAUAACUGCCUUUAGGACUGGCAUACCCGGGGAAACUGGGGAUAAUUCCGGAUAGUUCAUGGUAGUUGGAAUGCUCCAUGAUCGAAAGCUAUUGCGCCUAAGGAUGGGUCUGCGGUCAAUCAGGUAGUAGUGGGUGUAAUGUACCUACUAGCCGACGACGGAUACGGGUUGUGGGAGCAAGAGCCCGGAGAUGGAUUCUGAGACAUGAAUCCAGGCCCUACGGGGCGCAGCAGGCGCGAAAACUUUACAAUGCGGGAAACCGCGAUAAGGGGACACCGAGUGCCAGCAUCUUAUGUUGGCUGUCCGCAUGUAUAAAUCACAUGUGUUAGCAAGGGCCGGGCAAGACCGGUGCCAGCCGCCGCGGUAACACCGGCGGCCCGAGUGGUGGCCACUAUUAUUGGGUCUAAAGGGUCCGUAGCCGGUUUGGUCAGUCUUCCGGGAAAUCUGACGGCUUAACCGUUAGGCUUUCGGGGGAUACUACCAGGCUUGGGACCGGGAGAGGUAAGAGGUACUACGGGGGUAGGAGUGAAAUCUUGUAAUCCUCGUGGGACCACCAGUGGCGAAGGCGUCUUACCAGAACGGGUCCGACGGUGAGGGACGAAAGCUGGGGGCACGAACCGGAUUAGAUACCCGGGUAGUCCCAGCCGUAAACUAUGCUCGCUAGGUGUCAGGGACGGUGCGACCGUUUCUGGUGCCGCAGGGAAGCCGUGAAGCGAGCCACCUGGGAAGUACGGUCGCAAGGCUGAAACUUAAAGGAAUUGGCGGGGGAGCACUACAACGGGUGGAGCCUGCGGUUUAAUUGGACCCAACGCCGGAAAACUCACCGGGGGCGACAGCAAUAUGUAGGUCAAGCUAAGACACAGCUC